UACGGAGGGGACUAGCGUUGUUCGGAAUUACUGGGCGUAAAGCGCACGUAGGCGGAUUUGUAAGUCAGGGGUGAAAUCCCGGGGCUCAACCCCGGAACUGCCUUUGAUACUGCAAAUCUCGAGUCCGGAAGAGGUGAGUGGAAUUCCUAGUGUAGAGGUGGAAUUCGUAGAUAUUAGGAAGAACACCAGUGGCGAAGGCGGCUCACUGGUCCGGUACUGACGCUGAGGUGCGAAAGCGUGGGGAGCAAACAGG
rnacentral:rRNA from 1 species